CAGUAGCCGCGGUAAUACGUAGGGCGCAAGCGUUAUCCGGAAUUAUUGGGCGUAAAGAGCUCGUAGGCGGUUUGUCGCGUCUGCCGUGAAAGUCCGGGGCUCAACCCCGGAUCUGCGGUGGGUACGGGCAGACUAGAGUGAUGUAGGGGAGACUGGAAUUCCUGGUGUAGCGGUGAAAUGCGCAGAUAUCAGGAGGAACGCCGAUGGCGAAGGCAGGUCUCUGGGCAUUAACUGACGCUGAGGAGCGAAAGCAUGGGGAGCGAACAGGAUUAGAUACCCCAGUAGUCCCUGUCUCUUAUAC
rnacentral:rRNA from 1 species